UACGUAGGGGGCAAGCGUUAUCCGGAUUUACUGGGUGUAAAGGGAGCGUAGACGGCAGUGCAAGUCUGGAGUGAAAGGCGGGGGCUCAACCCCCGGACUGCUCUGGAAACUGUACGGCUGGAGCGCAGGAGAGGUAAGUGGAAUUCCUAGUGUAGCGGUGAAAUGCGUAGAUAUUAGGAGGAACACCGGUGGCGAAGGCGGCUUACUGGACUGUAACUGACGUUGUGGCUCGAAGGCGUGGGGAGCAAACAGG
rnacentral:rRNA from 1 species